GACGAACGCUGGCGGCGUGCUUAACACAUGCAAGUCGAACGAAAAGAGGGGAAGAGCUUGCUCUUUUCAGAAUUGAGUGGCAAACGGGUGAGUAACACGUAAACAACCUGCCUUCAGGAUGGGGACAACAGACGGAAACGACUGCUAAUGCCGAAUAAGUUCCAAGAGCCGCAUGGCCCAUGGAAGAAAAGGUGGCCUCUACCUGUAAGCUAUCGCCUGAAGAGGGGUUUGCGUCUGAUUAGCUGGUUGGAGGGGUAACGGCCCACCAAGGCGACGAUCAGUAGCCGGUCUGAGAGGAUGAACGGCCACACUGGAACUGAGACACGGUCCAGACUCCUACGGGAGCAGCAGUGGGAAU
rnacentral:rRNA from 1 species